AAAUUUUUGGGUCUUGUUGGAAUAUUUCUUUUAAAAAAAAAAAUAAAUAAAUAAAAACAUACUAAAAGACUGAUAAAGCUUGGAAUCUGAACCAAAAAGUGAAUACUCAAUAUCCUAGUACUCAUUUCUACCUAAUUCUGCUCAAUCUUACUGUCAACAUGUGUUGCGGACCUUGCGGUGGUUGCUGUGGACCCUGUGGCGGUUGCUGCGGACCAUGCUACUCCUGCUGCGGACCCUGCUAUUCCUGCUGUGGCCCGUGCUACUCCUGCUGCGGACCCUGUGGCGGCUGCUGUGGUGGAUGUGGACCCUGUUGCUA